UAGUCUUUAUUUAUCAUCCUCUUUAAGACAGACAGACGGAUCAACUUCCACCCUGCCGUGCUGAUCACAUCCCGCUGUUUGCAGAAGUGCACUGCUCGCAGACAAGCCCCAAAGCUCCCAGCCUGUAGCCAAAAUCUGCAGCACGGCCAGAGGUGGCCCGAGAGCACAGCAGUGACACUGCUGUCACCCUGCCCUCCGCUGCCUCUGCACAGGGAGCUCCAUCCCGCCUCCUCCACAGCUGCUGGGCACUCACGGGAAACUCCAGAGGUGGCUCUGCCAAGGAGGCAUCAUGAGAAAUGUGGUGUUUGAACACGAUCAUCUGCUGCUGGAGCUGUUCUCAGCCUGGAUCAACAGCUGGGCAGGUGAGGAUCCCACUGCUGGCUCCAGCAACGUAAUAUUUUCUCACUGAUGGAAAAGCUGCUCCUUGCUUUGCUACAGAAGCCAGGGAUUGGAGCCGUGUUUUGCCUGGAAGACAGAGUGGCACAGGGGAUGGCAGCAGUCACACAAGGCCUGCUAGAAACCACCCCCUGCACCUCCCCGGGAGCAAAGAGCUGCACUGCUGCCUUUGAACCUGCACACCACAUCAAGGGGGAAAGGAAAACAACACCCCAAGGACCUCAAUAAACACGGAUUAUCUUGUUUGCUGGAAUCCCUUCAGAAUGGCCAAGGCAGCCUCCAGUUCUGCGGGAUCCAAGCGCUUUGCCCCGUUUCUGUAACAACACCUCCUCACGCUCUGCCUGCUUCCCAUGGGACGUGUCCCGAUGGAACAGGACUCUCAGGAGGUGCUGUCUUCACCACACAGCUCAGGGAGGCUUCACAAGCCUCAGAUCCUGAGCAGGUUCUGCAACAGCCCCAGGCAGGAGCCAGAGGGGCCGGGGCUGCUUGGGGUUUGGGGUUUUGGGAGCGGGAAAAGCCCACUUGUCCAUCCCACAGACUCUGUGCUCUCUCAGGGGUUUGGGGUUUUGGGAGUGGGAAAAGUCCACUUGUCCAUCCCACAGACUCUGUGCCU